rfam:Balearica pavonina gibbericeps contig31922, whole genome shotgun sequence.
UGUUGUUGCAAUAGUAAUCCUGCUCAGUACAAGAGAAACCGCAGGUUCAGACCCCUGGUGCAUGUGCUUGGCUGAAGCUACCAUCUGCAGGGUUAUGACUGAAAGCCUCUAAGUCGGAAUCCUGCCUAGACGUAUUGAUACCGCAGCGCCACCAGCCCCUCGGUGGGCUUGUGAUAGUCGGCCGCCCAUCCUGCGUGGGGUGGGCCCAGUGCAGAGCGCAGCUCGUCGUUGGGACUGGAGUGGGGACAGAUGCGGCACCGCCUUUCCCCGGUCAUGUACCGCAUGAUCAUGGGGCGCCUGGUUCUAAAUCAUUUGCAGACAACCUGAUUCUGGGUCAGGGCUUCGUAUGUAGAAGAGCAGCUCCCUUGCUGCAAUCUAUUGAGAAGCAAGCCUUGACACAAGCUUUU